UACGUAGGGGGCGAGCGUUGUCCGGAAUUAUUGGGCGUAAAGAGCGUGUAGGCGGUUCGGUAAGUCUGCCGUGAAAUCCUGGGGCUCAACCCCGGGCGUGCGGUGGAUACUGCCGGGCUAGAGGGUGGUAGAGGCGAGUGGAAUUCCCGGUGUAGCGGUGAAAUGCGCAGAUAUUCGCAAGAACACCGGUGGCGAAGGCGGCGAGCUGGCCUGUUACUGACGCUGAGGCGCGACAGCGUGGGAGC
rnacentral:rRNA from 1 species